ensembl:lncRNA
CCAGUUAGUUCCGCUGGACUCUGAGAAGAAUGUAAAAUGAAAAUGCACAACCGAAAGAAAGGAUAUGGUUUUAAGGAGGACCGUAUGUUCAAACAUUAACGUUUUUAGAGUGGUGGGAAGUUUCGUGUAUCCCACAUGUCCGGGGCAGAGUGACACAUGUUUAAAGAUAUCCCUUUCCUUUUCCUCACCACUGCCUUGUGAAGUCUUAAUUCAGCAUGUGGAAUCACCUGACCCCAUCUUCCCCUGAUCUUCUUUCUCCACCUCAAGCCCCAUCUCUAGUUUGCUAUCCAGAGACCUGAUUUGAGUACGUUUUGGAGAGAAUCCCAGAUGAAAAUAGUCUUUUUUGAAAAGGAGGACCAGAGACAAAAAGGAACUGAAGAGAGGAAUGUCAAACCGUCCUUUUCUUUCCCCUCUCUUUCUUUGGGAUGAGGCCAGAGGAUGCGCUGACUGAAUAGCACGACUGUCCGAUAAGGUUGCAUGCGGGAAAUCUGUAACCCCCUCAGGUACUCAUGAUGGGCUGCACGGUUGGAUAGAAACAUGUGCGCGAACAUGACCGAAUAGUGAGAAGUCCAAGAGAGAGAGAGAAGACAGUAGUGCUAAUUUAAGAAAAAAACAAAGGUCUGAUAAUAAUCUCUCGUCCCUUCAUUUAAAUGGACAACCUCUCCAUGAACUCACCUAUGGCCCUGAGACUGGCUCUGAGCUUGACCUCUUGAAUGGUCUGGGAACUGAACAGAUCCCAUCCCGUAAUCCAAACGUUCCUCACGAUUUUUCUCGUCCCUGUAAUAGAGAGAGAGAGAGAGAGAUUCUUAACAAAAGGCCCGUCACCUUUGGGAAUCCUCGUAUUUCCCUCCAGCCCAUGAGUGGAGCUUUUCAAAAUAGCACUUUGGAGCCUGCUGUGGUUGACAUGUCGCA